UGGAAAUGAUGUUGAGCUGACGGCCACCAACCCAUGGAGAUGACGUUGUGCAUUGUGUUGAGUUGGGAACCACCGUCAGAUGGAAAUGAUGUUGUGUAGAGGACCACCAACCCAUGAAGAUGACGUUGUGUUGAGUUGGGAACUAACAUCAGAUGGAAUUUGUGUUGAACUGAGGACCGGUGACCCACGGAGGUGAUUUUAUGAUGAGCACCGCUGACCCACGGAGGUAACGCUGUGUUAAGUGCCACAGCACACUGAAGGUGACGUUGUCCUGAGGACCAGCGGCUCUGGAGGUGACACCGUGUCGCUGAGAACCACCAAACCAUAGAGAUGACAUUGAGCUGAGGACCACCAACCCACGGAGGUGAAACUGUUGAUUUGAAGAUCACCAAUCAAUGAAGAUGACACUGUGUUGAGUUGGGAACCAUCAUCAGAUGGAGACGACGUUGUGUAGAGGACCACCAACCCAGCGGAGGUGACACUGUGUUGAUCACCAACCCAUGAAGAUGACAUCAUGUUGAGUUGACAUUGCAAAUUGACAACCCAAAACAUGGUGUCCACCUCCCUUUGCCACCAUCUUCUGAAACAAAAGGAUCAUUUCACCCAACAAUUACAACAAUGCGGUCACACAACGCAUCCGUCCAUCCGUUACGUCGCACUUCAUGCAGUGCUACGGACAGAAAUGGGUGUCCCACCACCUGGAGAUGUGGCGUCACACCGAGAUAUGGCAGCUUUUGUCAUCAUUCUUAACACAUUGAUCACCAAAAUUAAAAGGAGAGGGAAAAAAAUCCUUGAGCUACGGCAGGCGUUCCCAACAACCAAAAAAAAAAGGAAACAGUGGGAGACGUUUCAACCAUUUGAAGGAAUUUUUACAAUUUGAGGAAGAACGAACGCGGGAGCUUCUUCCUGCCCAGAGGUAAAUGUGAAUUGUGAGAAUAAGAGGUUUCUCAAUUAACAGCUGUUACAAAGCCAACAGUCGUGGAAUUAGAAUACACCAAGUGCAGAGGAACCCACUGGGACCAUUGAGUCCAACACAUGGAACAUCCCAAGCUGGGAGGAACCCAUAAACAUCAUCAAGUCCAACCCAAGGAACAUCUGAAGUUGGAGGAAAACCAUGGGGACCAUUGAGGCCAACUCACCCCCAAGUUGGAGGGAACCCAUCAAGCCCAUCAAACUCCAACGACACGACUCCGUAUUUCUACCCCAGCAAAUAACUCUGAGAAAGAUGCCAAAGCACUUAAAGGAACCCCGAACUUCGUGUCACUCCUAUUGCAAGCUGCACGCAUCCAACACGCCCAUGGCAAUGAGUCAUCCUGCGACACGUCGCUCCUUGGAGGUGUGAGCAGUUUGGUGAGGAAGUCUGAAGAUCCUGAGAGUAAUCCAAUGCUGCUGGUCUGUAACCAAAGGGAAAAAAUAGUGCAUUUCACUACGGACAAACCGAGUCAGAAUCGAGCGAUGCCGCUGCCUUGAUACCGGAGGUGUAUGCUAUAAAAGAACCGGUAAAAAAAUCUUGUAAAUCACACACUCAUCUUUAAUAUCAUCGAAAGAAAAUAGUUAAGAAUGCGAGAACUGUUUACAGAUUAAAAAAAUAUCUUUGAAACCAUCUGAUCUUAAAAAUAGACAAUAGUAGUGAGGCUUAAAAUACAACCACUCGCAUCAAAAUGUUCCCAAAGCAGCACCUCGCGAACCCGGGGCCGUUAGGAUAACGCCUCGGUCGUUAGGAAGGUGGGGUGGGUUGGAGGAGUCACUUUGUCACAAUCCGAGUCCAACACAGCUUUGCCUUUGCUGGAGGAUGCUGAGCACUCCUGGUGGGAGCCCUCGGUGAGCUUGGAGGUGGAGCGCGCCAUCGAGCCGCCGUGGCUCCCGUUGGUUUGCGAGCAGACGUUGCUGACUUUGGCCGCUUUGUUCUUGUGGUGGUUGUUGUACACCUUGUACUUCAUCAGGAGGAUGAAGAUGAAGACGAGCACCGACGCCACGAUGAUGCCCCCGAUGAUGAUGAUCAUGGUGCCCCCGAGGAACUGAGCGUGGAGGGAACGGCACUGCUUGUACUCCUCCUGGGUGGUGAACUGCACGCAGCCGAUCACCCUGGUUGCAGUCAGAGAUGUCAGCCCGUCGUCGUACACGGCCAGGACGCAGAGGUCGUACUCACGUCCUGCAACCAGAUCAGUCAAGAAGAAGGAUUUACUAGCAGCUGGGAUCAUCCUGGAAGAGAGAAUACGUACAGUAAACAUCCAAGUGGGUCAAACCUUCGGAUUCCUCUUCAGUCUACUCGGCGGUAAGCGGCCCGCCGCGCGGGUUGGAGCUGGAUGGGCUUUAAGGUCCCCUCCAACCCGAUCUUCUGGGUUCUGUGACCUCAGAGGUCCCUCCCAACCCAACCAUUGUAGGAUCCCAAGGUUCUACGACCCUGAAGGUCUCUCCAACCCAACCACUGUAGGAUCCCAUGGUACCAUGACCUUUAGGAGCUUUUCCUACCCAACCUCUUGAGGAUUUCAUGAUUUUACGAUCUUUAAGAUCACUUCCAACCCAAUCGUGGCAGGAUCCUUAAAGUCCCUUCAACCCAACCACUGGUUGGGAACUAUUGGUCCCCAACGGGAAACCCCAUUUGGGAGCACUCUAUGGGAUUCCUGUCUAUGGGGCUCUGCCCAUCCACAAGACGGAGGAGUAAUUGACAAAUAAUUAUGCAAAGCACUGUUUUCCCAAAAUCUGAGUUAUUUGAGUCAUUCAGCUGCCGCCAAGCGCUCACUUUUCAUCAUAUUUUGUUAUGGGAUGACUAAGCAGAGGGGUGGGGAUGGAAAUGUGACUAAUUACCAUAAUGAGCUACGUGUGUUUGUGCGCCACAUUACAGCUGUGAUGGACCCACGUGCGAUAGAACAGAAAGUGGGAAAAUGGUUCUAAAUCCGCCGCACCGCUCCUGAAUGAAGACCAAAUCCCUCCCUUGGAAUUGUAUAUUUUCAUCCUUUCUGGUAAUUUCAGACUGAUUUUCAGCUUUGCGAGCAAGGAAAAGCACAAAGCUCUGAUGGAUGAGGAUUUUUUGCUGCGUUUUUUUGGGGGAAAAAAUGAGCAAUUUUGGUGUGUAUCAGAAAUUUCACGGAAACUCGAGUUCCCCAAAGUAUUUACUUACAACAAGGACCUACAUUCCCCAACGUUUUCCCUAAAAUAAGGACUUUUCCCCCAGACCUUUUUGCCACAAACAAGGACAUUUCACCCAACUUCUUGCUCAAAACAAGAACUUUUCCCCCCUCAUUUUGCACAGAAUAAGAGCUUUGUUUUUCCCACAACCUUUUUUCAAAACCAUGACUUUUCCCCCAACUUUUCACUGAAAAGAGCCACUUUCCCCCCAAUAUUCUCACGUCUCCCCGAAUAUCUCAAAUUUUCCUCUAAUUUUUCUCAAUUUUCUUUGAGUAUCUCGUAUUUUCACCUAUUUUUCUCACUUCCACCUGAAUUUUUGCCUCUAAUCUUUCUCACUCCCACCUCCAUAUUUCACUUUUUCGCCCUAAUUUUUCUCACUUCUUCCUGAAUAUCUCUAAUUUUCUGAUACUGUUCUCACUUCCACUUCAAUAUUUCAAUUCGCCUCUUAAUUUUUCUCUCUUCCACCUCAAUACUUCACAUUUUUUCUCAGUUUUUAACUCGCUUCCACCUGAAUACCUCAAUUUUCCUCAUUUUUUUUUCCUGAAAUUUCUCUGAAUAUCUCCAAUUUUCCACUCUUUUUCUCACUUUCACCUCAUUGAGACAAACAUCUCAUUUUCUCCUCUUUUUUCACUCCCUCAUAAGCGUCCAGUUAUCGCUCUAUUUUUCUCACUUCCACUUCAAUAUUUCACUUUUUCUCUCUACUUUUUUCUCACUUCCUCCCGAAUCUCUCUUAUUUUCCAAUAUUUUUCCCACUUCCACCUGAAUAUCUCCAUUUUUUCCUCUGAUUUUUCUCAACUUUCUCUGCAGAUCUUCAAUUUCCCUCCAACUUUCCUCGCUCCCACCUCAACGUUCCGCACCUCCCCUUAACUUCCCACGCUCCCACCCCAACUCUUCCCACUCCCCCUCAUCUCCUCACUUGCACAGCCACGGGUUGGGGGUUACCUGUAGACGAGGAUCUCGUCGGAGGAGCUGUUGUACUGAAUCUGGAACAUGCGGAUCCCGGGGAGGUGCUGCUGCGACGGCCACUGGAUGAGCGCGGAGGACGACGUCAGCUCCCCCACCACCACCGCCGCCUUCUCCUGGGGCCCUUUUGUCUCGUUGGGAAAGCUCGAUUUGGCCGAGAUGAGGAUGUCGGACGGGCCGUUCUCCGCCUCCUUCUCACAGUUGGUGCUGUUGGCCAAGUUGGGGUACGGCGUCACCACCAACUCCACCGGCGCCGUCGAUUCCCCGGCCGCGUUGGACGCGAUGCAGGUGAACGUUCCCUUAUCACCCAAAGAAGUCCCCACCAGAUCCAACGUCCCGUUUUCGUACGACGUCGUCCUGGAGGUGUUGGAGACCAGCUUCCCGUCGGGGGCGAUCCAUCGGACGUAGGGGUCGGGGUCGCCCACCGCUUUGCACUUCAAGGAGACGCUCUGCCCCUCGCUCACAGCCACCUUCGGGGUGCGGUGCGUGAUCAUGGGGGGCUCGCACACAAAUUCCUCCUCUUUGAUGGACCAGAAGUAUUUCCCCAUCAAUUCCGGCGGCGAAGCGCACGUCUCCAAAUCGUCCUCCCUGGUGAGACGCCUCAACCAGACCAACUCGCAGUUACAGUGCAGAGGGUUCCCCCCAAAACUCAGCACCAGCGACGUCAGCGGGGACCCUUUGGAUUUGGCAUAGACGGGAAUCCUGGAAAAGAGUGGAUCCGGAGGGAUCUUCUUCAGCUUGUUGGAGGUCAUGUCCAAGCGGGCCAACUUGUGCAGGUUGGAGAAGAUCCCCUCCGGGACGAACUCGAUGAGGUUGUGGUCCAAGCUGACCGUGUUGACGUUGGAGAGCUUGGCCACCGUUUCCCAAGGAACGUUGACCAGAUUGUUGUAGGACAGAUCCAGGUCCUCGAUGGUCUCGAUGAAGUCGUCCAGCGAUCUCGGGGAGAUGUAGCUCAGCUGGUUGUUGCUCAGGAUCAAAUGGCGGAGGUUAAUCAACCCUUUGAAAUGGUCCUCGUUGAUGUAGGUCAGCCGGUUGCUGUCCAGGUGCAACGCGUGGAGGCCCUUAAGAUCGAAGAAGGCGUAAGGCAUGAUCUGACUGAUGGUGUUCCUCGACAGGGUCAGGUGGAUGAGGUUGGUCAUGUUGGCAAAAUCCUUCCGCCGC